rnacentral:rRNA from 2 species
GGUAAUGCCGGAUGCUCCAGUUGGAUGCAUGUCCUUCUGGGAAAGAUUCAUCGGUAUGGGAUGGGGUCGCGUCCUAUCAGCUUGAUGGCGGGGUAACGGCCCACCAUGGCUUCGACGGGUAGCCGGCCUGAGAGGGCGACCGGCCACAUUGGGACUGAGAUACGGCCCAGACUCCUACGGGAGGCAGCAGUGGGGAAUAUUGCACAAUGGGCGCAAGCCUGAUGCAGCGACGCCGCGUGCGGGAUGACGGCCUUCGGGUUGUAAACCGCUUUUGACUGGGAGCAAGCCCUUCGGGGUGAGUGUACCUUUCGAAUAAGCACCGGCUAACUACGUGCCAGCAGCCGCGGUAAUACGUAGGGUGCAAGCGUUAUCCGGAAUUAUUGGGCGUAAAGGGCUCGUAGGCGGUUCGUCGCGUCCGGUGUGAAAGUCCAUCGCUUAACGGUGGAUCCGCGCCGGGUACGGGCGGGCUUGAGUGCGGUAGGGGAGACUGGAAUUCCCGGUGUAACGGUGGAAUGUGUAGAUAUC